UUGACGAGCAGCAGCUUCUGCUGGUCGCAGCCUUCUUAGAGGGACUAUCGGCUUCAAGCCGAUGGAAGUUUGAGGCAAUAACAGGUCUGUGAUGCCCUUAGAUGUUCUGGGCCGCACGCGCGCUACACUGGCAGAGCCAACGAGUUCAUAGCCUUGUUCGAAAGGACUGGGUAAUCUUGUUAAACUCUGCCGUGCUGGGGAUAGAGCAUUGCAAUUAUUGCUCUUCAACGAGGAAUUCCUAGUAAGCGCAAGUCAUCAGCUUGCGUUGACUACGUCCCUGCCCUUUGUACACACCGCCCGUCGCUACUACCUU
rnacentral:rRNA from 1 species